rnacentral:rRNA from 1 species
UACGUAGGGUGCGAGCGUUGUCCGGAAUUAUUGGGCGUAAAGAGCUCGUAGGCGGUCUGUCGCGUCUGCUGUGAAAACCCGAGGCUCAACCUCGGGCCUGCAGUGGGUACGGGGCAGACUAGAGUGCGGUAGGGGGAGAUUGGAAUUCCUGGUGUAGCGGUGAAAUGCGCAGAUAUCAGGAGGAACACCGGUGGCGAAGGCGGGGUCUCUGGGGCAACAACUGACGCUGAGGAGCGAAAGCGUGGGGGAGCGAACAGG